GAUGAAGAACGUAGCGAAAUGCGAUAAGUAAUGUGAAUUGCAGAAUUCAGUGAAUCAUCGAAUCUUUGAACGCACAUUGCGCCCGCCAGUAUUCUGGCGGGCAUGCCUGUUCGAGCGUCAUUUCAACCAUCAAGCCCCGGGCUUGUGUUGGGGACCUGCGGCUGCCGCAGGCCCUGAAAUGCAGUGGCGGGCUCGCUGUCACUCCGAGCGUAGUAGUUACAUCUCGCUCUGGGCGUGCUGCGGGUUCCGGCCGUUAAAAGCCUUAUUUACCCAAGGUUGACCUCGGAUCAGGUAGGAAGACCCGCUGAACUUAAGCAUAUCAAUAAGCGGAGGA
rnacentral:misc_RNA from 1 species